CAGGGAGGUUUCGAGGUUGCUCACAUUCGAGGAGGUUGAUUUUCCGGUGCUGGAGUCGGAGGCUCUCUUUAUUCGGAAAGCUGGGGAGGAGAUCACACAGCAGCUUUACAAUUUUGAGGACAAAGGGGGUCGACGUGUUGUUUUGAGACCCGAGAUUACUCCUUCUUUGGCAAGACUCGUCAUAAAGCAGGGAAAAUCUGUCUCCCUUCCAUUGAAAUGGUUUACUAUAGGACAAUGUUGGCGAUACGAG
rnacentral:misc_RNA from 1 species